CGGCGCCCGGCGGCCCUCAGCGGGAGGGAGUGCUCCCGCCGCUCGGAGCUGAGCCGCCGCCCCUGGGCUAGCUUUAAAUCUGAUGGGACUGCCACUCCAGGACUGACUCCUGCAGCAUAAUCUUCCUCAGAUGUCUGACUCCCCUAUUGGGACUUCAUGAGAGCUAUAUUAAAAGAAAAUCUGUAUCUGAUCUUUAUGGAGUUGCAGCCUCAUUCGGUGAAGGCCUGACCCACUCCUUGCAAAGACAAGCUGACUUCAGAGGGGGCUGCAGAAACUGACUGGACUGUAUCUCCCUUGGUGGGAUGUCACCAGUGAUGCAAGUGAUACACAACUCCCUCUCCACUACAGGAGACAAAACAGAAACAACAUUACUGUGAAUCCUUACUGGCCUACUAAAUUGGCAAAAGAGCACUUUGGGAUUCUGCCACCUGUAUAUAACUCCCGUUCAAAGCUGGAGACAAGAAGCUGCCAUGCUGGCUGA